rnacentral:rRNA from 1 species
UGGGGAAUAUUGGGGCAAUGGGGCGCAAGCCUGACCCAGCAACGCCGCGUGAAGGAAGAAGGCUUUCGGGUUGUAAACUUCUUUUGUCAGGGACGAGAAGAAGACGGUACCUGACGAAUAAGCCACAGCUAACUACGUGCCAGCAGCCGCGGUAAUACGUAGGUGGCAAGCGUUGUCCGGAAUUACUGGGUGUAAAGGGAGCGUAGGCGGGGACGCAAGUUGAAUGUUAAAACUAUCGGCUCAACCGGUAAGUGCGUUCAAAACUGUGUCUCUUGAGUGGAGUAGAGGCAGGCGGAAUUCCCAGUGUAGCGGUGAAAUGCGUAGAUAUUGGGAGGAACACCAGUGGCGAAGGCGGCCUGCUGGGCUCUAACUGACGCUGAGGUUCGAAAGUGUGGGUAGCAAACAGGAUUAGAUACCCUGGUAGU